UCUCCGUUGGUGAACCAGCGGAGGGAUCAUUACCGAGUUUUCAACUCCCAAACCCUAUGUGAACUUACCACACCGUUGCUUCGGCGCGCGCUCGUCGCCGCCGAGGACGUUAAACUCUGUCUUGUAUAAGCAUCUCUGAGUGGCCGAAAGGCAAAAAACAAAUGAAUCAAAACUUUCAACAACGGAUCUCUUGGUUCUG
rnacentral:misc_RNA from 1 species